CUUGUCCACUGAAAAGACCUACAAAAUUGAAGGAAAAGGGUCAAUUUAUGCAAUAAAUGCAUUUUGCAAAAACAAUAAUAAUUCACUUACUUGUGUUGGAGACUGAUUCGGAUGAGAUGUUAGAUUUGGUAUCAUUGUUCCUUGUGAUCCAAUAUGAGCUAAAACUAGCUUUAGUGUUUUAUCUUGUUCUCUUACCUUUGUUGACAAUGCUUUAAGUUCUUCAUCUUUUUUCUUAAGCUCAAGUCUCUCAUUCUGUAGUUCAAACUUUAGGUCCGCAAUUUGUUCUUUUGAAGAUCCUUUGGUUCUAGGAAUAUUGAAAUAUCUACUAGCAGUCACACCUGUGCCAACCCCUUUUAAGAAUCCACCAUUAUCCUUGCCAAAGACUAAUGACAUGGCAUCCAUCCUAGGAUCAAGCUUC
rnacentral:lncRNA from 1 species